rnacentral:lncRNA from 1 species
AUUCCACCUACACUUCAAGGGAUCGCCUUGAAGAAGUCAGUAUUUUUGCAGAGAUGCGUCUCCACCCAAAGGUCCUAGGUACCUUUGAGCAAUUGUGAAAGCCAUAACCCCUCACCCCGAAAUGACCUGUCCUCAUGCAUAUAGAAUCUUACAAUCACAGGGGUUAUGGAUCCUAUUUAGAGCCUAUAUUGAAAUCUUGAGGACGUCAGUAGUUCUCUAGAAUCCCUGUUCCAGGCGCCUCUGUUCCUGAGCAGUGUUAUGUGAACAGUGUCCUCUGUCUGUGGCUCUGUGUCCUGGCUGAGAAAGGCAGCGCUGCCUUCAGGGAACUGGGCCCAUUGCUGGGAGUCAGAGCCUUACGUGCUCACUGUGCCCCACGUGGCUUAGACAGUACCGGCUACAGCCCUUAUCCCGACUCCACGGGUGUGAGCACAGAGGCUGAGUCACCUGCCCGAAGCAGCACAGCGACUGAACCGUGUGAAUGGCACGUCAUCACCACAGUCCCCUCUGAGCACAUCGGGCAGGGUCGCUGCUGUGGGGCCUUAUAUCCAGGUUCCCAGUGCCGGAAGCUUUCCUGUGCUGGGGGACCCUAUAAAGCCCCAGUCUCUCAGUAUUGCCUCAAAUGCUGCUCAUGGAAGAUCCAAAUCCGGGCAUCGAGAUUGGUAAAGUGCCACCUCCCAUCCCGGGUGUAGGCAAGCAGCUGCCUCCAAGCUAUGGGACAUACCCAAGUCCUACACCUCUGGGUCCUGGGUCGACAAGCUCCCUGGAAAGGAGGAAGGAAGGCAGCUUGCCCAGGCCCAGUGCAGGCCUGCCAAGUCGACAGAGGCCCACCCUGCUGCCCGCCACAGGCAGCACCCCCCAGCCAGGCUCCUCACAACAGAUUCAGCAGAGGAUUUCCGUACCGCCAAGUCCCACGUACCCGCCAGCGGGACCACCUGCAUUUCCAGCU